ACAUAGCCCCGAUGGUAGCGGCAUCCUUUUUUGUUAUUGCGAUUCUUGAAUGGUUCAACAGAUUGCCUCACUUCGUUCGCAAUGACAAAAAAGAUAUAGCGGACAGCGGGUUGGAAG
rnacentral:sRNA from 1 species